GACGAACGCUGGCGGCGUGCUUAACACAUGCAAGUCGAACGGUGAAGCGCCUUCCUUUUUGGUGGGUGUGGAUGAGUGGCGAACGGGUGAGUAACACGUGAGUAACCUGCCCCCUUCUUCUGGAUAACCGCAUGAAAGUGUGGCUAAUACGGGAUAUUCUGGGUCUGUCGCAUGAUGGGUCUGGGAAAGAUAUUGUUUCGGUGGGGGAUGGGCUCGCGGCCUAUCAGCUUGUUGGUGGGGUGAUGGCCUACCAAGGCGGUGACGGGUAGCCGGCCUGAGAGGGUGGACGGUCACACUGGGACUGAGACACGGCCCAGACUCCUACGGGAGGCAGCAGUGGGGAAUAUUGCACGAUGGGCGCAAGCCUGAUGCAGCGACGCCGCGUGAGGGAUGGAGGCCUUCGGGUUGUGAACCUCUUUCGCCAGUGAAGCAGGCCUGCCUCGUUUGUGGGUGGGUUGACGGUAGCUGGAUAAGAAGCGCCGGCUAACGACGUGC
rnacentral:rRNA from 1 species